CUUAGGGCUAAGGGGUGCCACCAUCCGGUGGCCGCAGAGAAUAGGCCCAAGCGACUGUUUACCAAAAACAUAGGUUUCUGCUAAGUCGCAAGACGAUGUAUAGGAGCUGACGCCUGCCCGGUGCUGGCAGGUUAAGGGGAUCUGUUAGAGCAAUCGAAGCAGUGAACUUAAGCCCCAGUAAACGGCGGCCGUAACUAUAACGGUCCUAAGGUAGCGAACUUCCUUGUCGGGUAAGUUCCGACUCGCACGAAAGGCGUAA
rnacentral:rRNA from 1 species